ensembl:lncRNA
CGCUAACUGGCUUCUUUCCUAAAGCAGCUGUGCAGCAACGAAGGGAUUGAAUGAGUCCUUUCCCUUGAGCUUAGGCACAGCUCGUGGCUGGGUGGAAAACUCCUGUAGCAUCUCUGAUACAAUAAAUACAAUAAUUCACACUGUGUCCGAAGACACCCGAAUUUAAUUGCUAUCAGUGAUGGCUUCACAGGUUGAAGCAUCUUUAUCACGCUAGGAAAACAAGUUUUGCCCCAGGGACGCUGCUAAGAAAUAAAGAAGAGGAUUUUACUUAUAUAUUAAUUUUGGCAGAAUGAUCCCAACGAGCAGUGCAUGAGUUGCUGCAAGUCGGACUCGAAAGGGAUUGGUGUCCUGCUACUUGUCUCCAGCAGCUGCCUCGUAUCUGCUACCUUAUGGAUGCCUUCCAACUCGGGAUAUCCUAUGAGUCUUCCUUCAUUGUCCUUCUACUGAACCUGGGACCUCCACAGUGAGCAGCUAAAGGUAUUCUGGGUCUACACCGGUGAGAAGAGAGAAGCUCUCUGCGAGGCCUGGAAGUAUGACACAUGCUUAUGAGCAGACUCUAGGCACAUACAAUGUACUCAUUAAUGCCACGGGGACUGCUGUGCCAGCAGGAGGGAUUCUAGCCCCAAAAAGCACUGCGAGAGCUGCGUGACCCCUCACCCCCAGGCAGAAGUGGGGGAGGACACCUCCAUCUUGUAAUCUGCAUCUGUCAAAAGAAGUGCUCUCCUCAUUUUCUGCCAGUUUGGGAAGGGUUAAUGAGGGAAGCACAGCCCCCAGGGGCCAGCACUGUUGUUCCAUGCAGAUUGGCUUGUUCUUGUUUCUUCCAUCGAUCGCAAUCACUCAGAGCUGUGCCUGUAACAAACUGCCUUAAAUCAUUGCAAUCAUAAUAAGCACACCUUGGUAAAUAAUGCAUGAGGUGUCCGUAAGCCUAUAUUCAUUAGGAGGAAGGCGCAUAUAGAGCACGGUAAUCAUCUGGGCUCAAGGAGGGGCUUGGAUGGUGGGGCUGAGCCGGGUUUGGGGGCAAGGCUCUCCAGCCCCUCAGAUGUUGGAAACGUAGGCGGGUUCCUUGUCACCUUCAUGAAUUUUGUACGAGAUGUUUAAAAUGCCUGUAAGGUUUGCAUUGUAAUCCAGGUUGGGUAGAAGUGGGCUUGUGGCGAGUCUCCAAGUGGUAUAAUAGCAAGGCAUCACAAUUAAUCGUGUUUAAUAUGUUUUAAUGACUCAAAGCACGUGGUGUGUAACAAGUUUUGCUGUGAGAGCCUCGUAGCCAAGUUAAUGGUCUGGAUAUUAGGAGCCACUGUUUUAAAGCACAAAUUAAAAAUGCUUUGUUUUCCCUUUGUCUUGAGGAGCAGAAUGGUGUUGCAGCAUGGAGCUCCUUUAGGGCAGCUCCAUUGGGCGUUAGUGCCAUCCUGGUGCCAUGGCCUUCACUGCAAGGUUUUCAGGGCAGACUGCAAGGGAAAUUAGGCAGAAAUUUCCACCUUUCUUUUUUUAUUAUUAUUUUUUGUUGUGUGUGGUGUGUGUGUGUGUGUGUGUGAAAUGACAGUGAUAAGGACAGUUUUCUUUUGUAUGGUUAGAAGGGAUGGAGCCGUGGCAGAAGCAUUCCUGCUUGUAUCAGACAGCUGUGGAUGGCAAUGGGUCAUUUCACUCCAUUAUGGUUUCUGGCAAGUGAGUAUUAAAGGGUGUGUGAGGGCAUCGUUUCUCAGCGAUGACUUCAUUUGGCUGUCUAAACAAACAGCCGUUCCUCACCAGGUGCAAAGGGCCUUCUAUUUGUUUUUGAACUCUGUGAAGGGGGAAAAAAAAUACCUAAAGGGAAAAUAGCAGAUCCUGCCUGUUUGACAGCCAUGGUGGUCUCUGCCUUCUUGGGAAACAGCAGCGAUGAGUGCUGUGGGGACAACUCGCUCCUUGUUCAGCCCCAGUGGAUGUCUUCAUCGCCAUGUUCUAGCUGCAUCAUCUGUCACAGAGAGAAGCAAAAUGACAAAGAGAGAUAAGAUCAGUACGUUUUAAGCUGGAGAAGAAAGACCAUUCAACCCAAGCAGAAGCAGAUAAAUGGGGAAUCAUUACCUUCACUGCCUUCAUCUUCACACCAAGCUUGCCACUUGCCUGGGCAACGUCACAAGAGAUGUGGCAACGUGAAACCACAGGUCCUGUCCCCAUUCCCUGGAAGCGGAACCCCUGUGCAGCUUUCAGAUACCCGCUGCCCAGAGCUCGAACCAGCCCAUUGUAUUUCAGAUUACCUGAAGAACUUCUCCGUUGGCAAACUCAGCCCAGAAAUAAGGUUUGAAGGAUAUUCCUGUGUUUCCCAGGAGCAUGCAGCUUUUGAAUUGCUAUUUCCCCUGGUAUUAGGAGUUCUGGAAGCUGAAGCCAGCCAGAUGAUCAGUAUCUCGAACCACAUCGUGAGGGUUCCUUUUGGGAAAAUGCAUCUGUAUAACGAAUUGUCCUAGGUGCAUGAAUGAAGUGUUGAAAAUCAGCUGAGGGGCAGAACAUAUGGGGAAGGUGUGUCUGUGGGUGUGCUGAAAUGUUAUCUCCAAAUUGCUCGUUAAAACUUCAUUUUAGCGUCCUGAUUCAGAUCCUGUUUGUUCACGUGCAGUCAGGAGCGAUUUUUCCCCGAAGAAAAGCAAAAUAGGCUGCAUGUUGAAGCCCUCUUUGGUUUGGAGCACAAAACAAUUUCCACUUAACCUCAUUAGAGGCCCUAUUUGAGCGGAUUUCUUUGUCAAUAUUGAGUAUAAUCGCCUUUGGCCCAUGCAUCCUUUUCUCUACCUGGCUUUGACCGUCAGCCCCGUGUCUGUUAUUUUUGGGAUCCACUAGUGCUGCUUUGGCAGGUUGUUGAGGCAGUUCCCAAGUAGUCAUUCAAACGCUGUUCAAAACCCUCAUCUAAUAAGCUAGAAGCACAGCAGCUUCCAGAGCUGCACUCCCUUCCAGCAACUCCCUUUGCCAGCUAGAAAUUACGCUAUUUUCCAAUUUCAUUAUUACCUCUGUUUUUUAUUACAGCAUCAUUAGAGUGAGAAAACUGGAAAGGAAGUGGGGAUUGUAUAAUGCAGGAAAUAGUGAAUUAAUACCUCUACCAUAUGAUGGAAUGGUGCAGAGCUGUGACAGUAUCAGGGAAAUAUAGAGCAAAUACAGGCUGUGCUGGCUGGACGAGGGCGAGACUUCUCCACUUGCACUGAGGAGUAUCUGCUCACAGAAAUAACUAUUUCUCAGAAAUGCAAGAUUUGCACUUCCUUUCUGCACGUGCACGUUGCAAAUAAAGCCAUCACGAGGAUAUGGAGUGGGGGAAAAAAACAGCUUUUAUUGCACAUAGGUGGGCUGUAGCGUGUUGGCAAAAGAAGGCUGAUGGAUUGCCUGAGAAGCAGCGUCAGAGCAUUUGAAGGAAGGGGCCAUGUAUGAUGAUAACAAAGAAUUGUCUAUUCCUUACCGUGUGGCUCUACAGUGCUAAGCCCUGGGAAGUGUUUAUUAGCUCUUGAGCAUUUAUAACUACCAGCUUCAGCGGGCUGCAGUGAGUGGGAAAGCUUGGCUCCCACAGCCAGCAAUGUGAAGGGGUGUGUCUUUCAUUCUGAAAGGGUAGGCAGCACUAAAGAGAGAAAAGCACCCUUUCUGCUCCUUUUUCUUCUUUUCCAAUGACAUCUAUGUUUUCAGGCUCGCUGGCCUUACAGUGACCCACGGAUCAGACCCAUUAGUUACUGUGCACCCUGUAAUUUGGGCUGAAGGACAGAACCGUGGCACUGCUCACGGUUUCUGCGGCUGCUCGGAUAAAAGCCUCUGUGAGAUGCAUCUCCUAAAAACCCACUUUGUUUGUAGUACCACCAGAAAGUAAUUAAACGCUGGUAUGUAUCGGUUUUAUUUUGACGCUGCCUUCUGAGAUGCUGAGCGACUCGUUAGCUUAAACAGCUCAGAGCACAGUCUGCAUGUGUCUGUUGUGCAGUUGUCAGAUGGCAACAAAUGUGCUUUUAAUCACAGCUUGUUGCUCAGAUCGCUGGGUUGCGAAGGGAUGCAGCUUUUGGAAGCAACUUCUUUGUAUGUUUUCUGAUCAUCUUGCUGCCUGACGGUGCUGCCAUAAAGAUGCUUCAGAGGAGCUGCAGGGUCAUAAGAGGGGGAAACAAAAAUAGAUCUGGGUGAACCGAGAGCACCAACGGGCACAGGACUCUGAAUUUGCAAGCAUCAAAUCCAGAUUAUCCAUUUCUAGAACCUCUCGAAGCUUUAAACUCUUUACAGCCUGUUGAGAGCAGAAUGAUCUCUGACUUCCUGAGGGGAGGCCAGCGCCGGGGUGGAUGGAUGCAGCUGCUCUGCUGCCACUGAGCUCUUCAGUGGGAUGUGAGGAAUCCUCCUGCAUCCCUAAAACCAAACCAGCCCCUCCUGCAUCCCCAAAACCACGCAGGAGAUGGGAAGGGAGGCACAUUUAUCUGCCACGAGCCACCAGCAGCUAUUCUGUGCCAUCCCGCUGCCAUUGCGGACUGUGGCUGGGCUGACCCCCAGCAGGGCUUUGGAGGUCUGAGAUUUGCAAAGGCAGAUCGUGGGACGUGUAAUAAAAUGCCAGGCGUUGGAUGAGAAACGUACAUUUAUUGAGGUGUAACAGUCAAUUGCGUGGCUGUUAAAGAGGUGUAACUGUGUAUUAAAUAAUCAAUUCAGCUGGAAUUUGUUUAAUAUAAUCGCGGCCUAUUAAACCUGAAUUAAGUACAGAAUUAAGUGUCUCUGGGACACAGCUGAAAACACUGCCAGGAAUGUUUUAUGUUGCCUGAAAACCUUUGAGGAAAACUCCCACAAAUGUGCAACUGCCCUUCAUUUGAUGCAGGAAGCACAAUAUGGGAUUUUUGGUUCUUUUUUGUCUGAACUGCAGUUAUGUAGCAAGUUUGGCCUCAUCUGAGACUUAGCGUAGGUGCAAAAAUACCUGCCUGCUUUUCUGGAACUCCUCCUUCAUAGAUUUUGUACGGCCUUUUGUGCUUCACAGCCUCACAAACGUGAGGUUGGAGGACCCCAAGGGCUGCCCAAUGCUCAGCUCCUGUUGCCUUCUCGCUCUGUUUCCAGCAACAUGUGGUGGUUUGUGCCCCGGUCCCUGCACUAUGGGUUUGCAACCUGAGUGCCUCUGUGUAAGGAAUGCAGCAGCCACAAUCCGCGUUCCCCUCCCUCCUGCUAAUUAGCCCAUGUUUAACACCCGGACAAAACCCUGCUGCACCUGCACUGCCCUGGGAAGCACAAUGCUGGGGCAGCAACAAAGCAGCGUGUUGGGGACCCUGAAAGCCCUGAGCUCCGUUGCACGCAGCACUUUGAAAAAGGAUGAUAAAAAAAGGAGGUGGGGAUUCUCUCGCUCCCUACUUUUCACUAUUGGAGAGAAUGGGUGAAAGCUCACAAAAGCGGCUUAAUAAAGAGGAGAGGGAGAACAAGGCGAGGGGAAGUGAGGGCAGGCUGAAAGGAAGGAGGACUUUCCAGGUUGCAUUGUCCCCUUUGCCUUCCAGAGAUCCUGAGUCAAUGUCUCAAAAGCCGUCGAUGACAUCAAGUUGAUUGGUUUUGCUGCAGCCCUUGAAAGCAGUGGUGGGGAAUCGAUGCAGCCAUCCUCCGCCCAGGAUCUGCUUUUAGGAGGACAAAGUGAACCUUAUUCAUGGGCACGACAAAGGGUCCAGCGCUGCUUUGAUGUGGUGACCGUCCAAUGGCCCCUUCACCUGUUUCUUCCCUUUGGAGGAACGCUGCAAUGCAUUUUCAUCCGUCUCUUUGGCCAGAUUCUUCCUAGAAAUCGCUGCUAUUCAGCAAGAAGUGAAGGUUUCCUUUUUGAAAUCUUUAAUGAAACGACUACAAAUAAUAGUCUACCUUCCACCCAAGAAGGGCAGAAUUACUCCUUCUCCCGCCUAUACAGAUGGAAGGAAUGCUUAUGUAUGGAUUGUGUUUUCCUACAGCCAGGCUGGAUGACAAUCUGGUUGACUUCUAGGACGCAGCUUCUCGAAGAUGCUGCUCCUUCAGCAGCUGCAGUGCCCACGCUGGUGGGAUGUCUGGCACGUGGGACUGCAGAGUAAAUGCUUAAUGAGGAGGUUGCUCACAAAGGCAGUGGUACAAGGUGGUCCAUUAGAGACUUCAGGCCUAACUCGGUUGAUCUUGAAAUACAAACAUAAUACUUUCAGGUUUAAAUAGCAGACUGAUCACAGCAGUCCCCGCUAGAAUCUCUACGUGUCUAAGGCACUGGACAUAAAUUAGUAUCAUCAGUUCAAACACCUUGAAAAUUGGAAAUAAAUUAUGCCAGACACUGGAGACAGAUGGCAUCCAUACACCAGGCAGAGCCAGAAAGCCCAGCGCUUCGGACAUCUGUAGAUGAAUUCCCUGAAGCACCUGGAGCUGCAGAGAGGAGAGGAGAAAGUGAUUUGUGCCUGAGAAUGGAUGGGUUUCUUUGGAAGUAUCACUUCAGCUUCAUCCGAGCAGCAAAGAGAGAAACUCGUUCACUAACCCACUGUUCUGCUGUGUCCUCCUAUAGGGAUAUAAAUACGGCUGAAAAAUGUCUGCCUUGUUUAUUACUUUGAAGUCAAACGUGCACCGGCUAUUUUCAGAAACAUGGGAGAAGUAAUGCCUUCUGGCUGGCUUUGAGUUGCCAGGUCGUCUGAAUAAUUUCCCUUUCCCUGUCCCUCUGCUUUUAUAUACACAUGGAAAGGCAGACACGGAUAUUUUAAUGUAUGUAUUAAAACUAGACCAAAAGUUAGCAUGCUGUUUGGAGAUGUGUGGCAUAGAAAUAAAUCGCAGAGGAGAGCAAGGAAGGAAUGUGUGCUGCUCCCUGGCAGCCUCGGCUCGUUUGGGGCUGCACAGCAGAGCAAGGCACAGCUCCUGCCCCACAGCCUCCGUACGAAUAUGUCGAGCUCUUUUGUUUCCCACGUGUAGGGUCACCGUUAUGUGCUUUCUCACCUAUGUGACUGCAUCAAACAAACAAGAAAUGCCCUUCAAAAGCCGAUCCAGGUCUAACCAGUCAGUGAGAUACGGGACUUGGCAGGUAGCAGAAGGCUUCAGGACCGAUCCCCAGCCUGAUGGCACCAAGAGCAAAUGAGAUCUGCAAGACAGCACCCCACAGUUCCCAAAGCUCAGAAAACAGGAAGGGACGUGAGACAAAGCUGAUGGCAUAGCUCAAACACCGGCAGAACAGCUAUGCACGGAGUUUCCUAAGAACACAGCCUGCUUGUAAGGGUCAUUAUUGUUAUCCAUGGCUUUCCAGCCAUACAAUGGAUAGACAACUACAUGGCAACUCUACACAGCCUCCAGAGGGUUCUGCGUGCACCAAUAGAGAGACAGAGCACUAACAAGGAGAAUGGCAGUGCUUGAGGUUGUCUUAAUUGACUGCUAAUGGGUCCCAACCGGGAGACAGGCUCAGCUGGGUGCCAUUUGCUCUAAUUGAUAAGAAGCCCUGAUUGGGUCCUUGGAGGGUGCUGGUUCCUCACUGAGCUUACUAAAGGGAAGCUGGCAAAGGAAAUCCUGUUGCCUAAAAGGG